AGAUUAAUACAGACCCUAAUAUAGACUCUAGAGACACACCUCACACACACACAGAUUAAUACAGACCCUAAUAUAGACCCUAGAGACACACAGACCCUAAUACAGAGUCAGCUAUCCCAGUCCCCUGAUCUCUGUUUGUUUUUACAGAAUCCACAAGCUUACAAUAGACAACGUGAAGCCGGAAGACGAGGGCGACUACACCUUUGUCCCCGACGGCUACGCGCUCUCUCUCUCCGCAAAGCUCAACUUCCUGGAGAUCAAGAUCGACUACGUUCCUCGUCAAGAGCCCCCCAAGAUCCACCUGGACACCACGGGCAACGUCGUGUCCCAGAACACCAUCAUUGUUGUCGCUGGCAACAAGCUGCGGCUGGACGUGGAGAUCACGGGCGAGCCUGCGCCCGUCGUGACGUGGGCCAAGGCGGACCAGGUGAGAGGAGGAGGAGGGGACAGAAGUGAGGGCGGCCGAUUCAUUUC
rnacentral:lncRNA from 1 species